rnacentral:lncRNA from 1 species
CUCUGUUGCAGCGCUGGUAAAGCUCUAAGAAAGCACAGUUAAGCAUCAGGAGGGUGUCACUGAAGAAGGGAGACUUAGGUUGAACUCCAGCUGGGACUCAGAUGUGAGCAGUUGCCAUGAGGCUCCUGAGAACUGUCUAGCUCCUGAGUGUGGUUCCCUCCCAGAAACUUCAUGAUGAUCAACCACACCUCACAUUUGCUUCAUUCAGUCUAUGGACCAGGAAGAAUUUUCUGUGACACAUUCAGGUUCUUACUCAUUUACAGAGUCACAGAUCUGUCAGCCUGGGAACCGGCCCCCAAAUGGAAGACCUAGGCAGUUCUGAUGGGUCCAUCUGCAAGGGGAGUCACAGAAGUGUGUGAUGAGGAGAGGAAGAGAUACAACAGAUGUCUUAUGAGAAGCAGAGGGAGGACCUCAAGAGACUGCCUGGCCCAGUCCCUCACUAGGCGUAAGAAACAAACUCACCCAUCCAAACCCGAAGAAUGGACUCAGAGACCCAGAGAACAGCGAAAGUGAGAUUUUUAAUAAACAGUCAGUCUUGCAAAAUCGGGUGUCUGACGGACAGGCACACCCAGCAGUUUCAACAAGCAAUUUGUCCACUAGUGUGCAGGCUCCUCCCCCAGUUUCCCACAGGCUGAGUACUAUGGGGUCACAACCUUCCUGGACGUCACCUAUUGAUUGUUAGGCAGGGGCUUUAGGUGUUUUUGUUUGUUUGUUUGUUUUUAGGGUUGUCUUGCUGCAUUUUGUCACAGCCCACAAUGCAUUGCAAUCCUAGUCAGCUCAGGGGCUCUUCAAGUAUUUCACUUACGACCUAAGUAGCUGGGCUGGCUGAUAAGAACAGACAAAGGGAGCUAUUUUGCAGGCUAGUAGUAAGCUUUCAUUUUAGACUAAACUUCUUCGGUUCUGGUGAAGGCAACUAAUGGGGGGUAAGCGGGGAAAGGGGGAGGCCUACAAGCAGGCAUCAGCUAUCCAAGCAGGGGCCUCGAAUAUCCUGUUUCUUCUGUAGUCUGCUGACCUAAGCCAAUUUAAGGCACUUUGUCUUGGAAAUGCAACACUGUAUACAUUAUGUCCUUCACUGGUGAAAAUGAGAGGGGCUGUGACUGACUCAGUCCCAUAGUCACAGGCACCGGAACAGUCCCCAGCCUGCCCCUUGACUCAGAGCCCCCAUCUCCAAACUGUGCCUCAGAUUUGGGAGCACUAACGCGAUAACUUUGACUUCUUUUGUGCUGUAGUGACCAGCCUUCUGAAAGUGCCCAGAAAUUCUCUCUGAAGUGUGUUUGAGGCCAUGGGACGGAGGGAAGUGGCCUUUUAGCAGUACUGGGCAGGCAGAAUUGGCAAGAGUAAUUGGAAAGCUAAGGUACCUCAGCAGCAAGAGGUCUGGGACCACAGAAGCAGGUCAGGAAGCUGUUUUGGGGCCACUACGACCUUUGGAUGUGGACUUUGCUUUCAGGCUUACACAGUGCCCGUAAGUGAGCUGCACUGCAGCCCUAGCCCUGCCACUUGUGAGUGAGCUGAUCUCAGCAGGGUGGUAUGCUCCCUGCUCCGUGCUCCCCUGCUUUGCAACACCACAGCCUGCGUGGUUAAUAUCCCGGAUGACAGUUGCUUGUUUUUAUUCCAACAUGACCAGUUAGAAGCAGGGCAACCGUGGACAAGGUGGUGAACCCCUUUGUACUUCUGUGUUUUCAGUUGAAAAAUGGAGACGUCAAGUUCCCUAGUCACAGAGCAGCUGUGAUGGGACCCACGUAAACAGCCCUGAUCAGUAGUGAAGAGCAACAUGUGGCACACAGGGCCUCCUGCACAAGCAACAGUCGCUGCUUGCUGUUACUGUGGGCUCCACGUUGGGAUCAGACACACCUGUCUUCAGUGGCUUGCAGUUGCAGCAAGGACCGAAUGUGAGUGAAAGCACUUUGUGCCUGGAAAUGGACAGAACAUUGAAAUAUGAUGCCCCGAAAAUCGUCCAGAAGACAGGUGUGGCCUGUGGGUGCUUGAUACAUGGUGGUGGCUUUGUUACUGAAUAACAGGGAGGUAUGAUUGCAAAGGUCACUGUUGCCUUCAAACUCUACAUUUUGGUUUGAAUUCCUUCUGAAACUUGCUUCUUGCACAUCUCUGCUCCUGUAGUCCAUCCACAAAGGGCCAUCUGAGGAAACUUGCUCUGCACCACGCUCCCCCAUGGUGCCAGGAACACAGCAGUGCACAAGACAGACAUGAGUCUGCUGGGAAAGAAACAUUAGGCAAAUACAGUCAUCCCUGGGAAUCUGUAGGAAAUUGCUUCCAGGGCCAUGGGUAAGACAUGAAAAUCUGCACAUACUCAAGUCCCAUAGUGAGUCCUGGGGACCGAAGGUUAUGAAAAGCCAGGCUUCCGUACGGGCAGAUUUAAAUCCUGAGAAUACUAUAUUUUCUAUCUGUGUUUGGUUGUGGAUACAAAACCCACGGACUGUAUUUUUUGGAAAAAAAAAUCCAUCUCUAAGUGGACCCUCGCAGUUCAAACCGGUGUUUAAGAGUCAACUGUAAUUUCAAAUUGGUAUCGCAACCUUAUUAAGACUGUCAUCUGGGAUUUGAUUUUAUCCUUCUUAGAAGCUAUUCAGUCAACCUGCUACUGUUUCCUGGAUGUUAUGUCCAGCCGCACUUCUGUGUCAGUUCCCCUCAGUCCCAGUUCCCUCACAGGUGACACAGCAGGCUCAGAUGAAUGCCGUGUGUGCAGCGUGAAGCGUGGAGCUUGGAGAAGGCGCUGUGCUUACAGCAAGCCAGAAGCCAGCCUGCUGUUUGCCUGGAGGAUCAUGGGGAGGGGUCAAUGUUACCUCACCUCUCAGAGUUAUCAGCUGGACCUGAGAAAUGGGCCAGCUAAGGGACACUCAGGGCCUUGCAGUUGUGGCAUGCUCAGCAAGGGACAGGGUGCAAGGAUGGCCUCUUCCAACAAAGACAUCAAAGGCUAUCUAUAUACAUCCAUGAUGCUAUCACUUUAAUACAACAUUUUCUUCUGGUUUUAUUCUUCCAGAAUUUGCCUAUGUACAUACAUAUUUUUGGAAUUGUAACCAUGGCAUAUAUAACACUUAACAUGCUGCUUUAUUCACUUAACUGUGUAUCCUAAGCAGUUCCCCAUACUUCCGCACAAUUUUCACAAUUAUCUUGCACAUUCCACUGUGUUCAUGGACCAUCAUGGUUGGACAUUUAGGUGGCUCCCACUUUUGUUCUUGGCCUGUCUUUCUGAAAACAUACGGUGAGCACAGUAAAGACAAGACACUGGAGCUGGGCAGAGCAGAUUCUGCCUGCCCGUGUGCUUUCUGGGCCCGCCUUCCAUCCCACUGCUCCCUUCAGCAUCCUCGGCCCAGGAGGAUGAGACUUUCGGGAGCCUCAGGAGCUUAUGCCCAGAGAAGAAAACACCUGGUUCUCAGCAUCCCACGUAGUAAUGAUGUCGAAUGCUCUUUCAUCUACACACAGGGUCUAUUCUAAAAGAAAACAUUACAGGCAGGCAGUACCAGACCACUGUGCUUGCAGCCCUCAUGAGAAGGCUCAGAAGACACAGGAGCUGCCCUGGGUGUGAAUUUCGUGUCCAUGCUGGCUUCUCGCAGUGGCCCUUGGCAUAGGUUGGGAUCUUGCAGCAAGAUUCUUCAUCGGUUUCUCCAUCUCUGAAGACUUCUUGCCAACAGCUGUACACGUGAAUAUAUUAUUUUCUCUUAUGCAGCUGUCUGUUUUACAUGAGUAGAAUGGAUGUGUGCUUCAGGGUCCCAGGAGAAAACACAUGCUGUGCCCAGACAAGACAGGAGCUGGGCUUAGAAAGGGCCCUGUUUACUCGAGGUGUGGCGGGGGGUUUAGCACCACAAAGGAAAGGGAAGUUGACUCCUACCCAUGUGACAGGGAAGCUUGUACCACUCUUACCUACACGGAGAGCCCAGUAUGAGAGGAGAGGUAGGUAGAAUGGUCUGCAUGGAGAGAGCUGGGGCAUCUGGGCCCAGGUAGCUCCAGGACAACUGUGCCAGCAGCUGCUCUACAGUCUCCUCCAGGAUCUCCAUCUACUGAGCCCACCUGGAAGCUGCAGGGUGGAGCUCUAGUGUCCAACCAGGUCCAUCUCCCAGAGUGCUCGGCAGGGCAGAGGAGCAUGGGCAGCAGUCGAAAAUAUCAGAAUACUCAAGGGAGUUAUUUUUUUUCUUAAUGUAACUUUCAUAAAGGAAAUGAAAGAAAUGUGGAGACUGAAAACAGUUGUCUGGUGUCUCAAUACUGCAUGCAGGUUCAACUACAUUCUAAGCAAGUUGACUGUUAUAAUACAUUUCACAUUUUCUGUGAUUUUGUUUGUGCUGAGACCUUAUGCAAUUACAAAGCAGAUUUUUUACACUAACCUACACUGAGAAAAGAAAACCACCGUUCCCCUUUUAAACAGGAGAGUGCCUCAAGUACACUCGGGAUCCCUCUCACCAAGCACAGCAAGGCUUGUGACUUCAAGCACACCAAGCUUGUGACUUUUUCUCCUACAAGGUGCACCUCGUUUUUUCUUACUGACAAAUUGGCUUUAAAGUAAAGUUAGUUCCCUAUCACACUGGCCCCCAAGACUCCAACUCCUGCUUCUCUUGGGAUCUCUGCCCAGAGUCCAAUCUCCCCUAAGGCGUGGUGCAGUGCUGUGCCCACACCUAGGCUCUGGGGGUGGGCACCCUUUGACUUUCCUCAUAUCAUUCCACCCUCGACACAUCCAAAUGUGAACACAUCUUCUCCACAAAGUGCCCCUUCACCACGCCAGUUCCCAGACACUUUAUUUCUUCCCUUGCCUAGAGUGCUGCCCCCAAAACCAGCCCCCCAUCAUUGGCCAUGUCCUUGCAGAGGCUGAACCAUCCCACAAUCUGUCAAGGAUAUCAGGGAAGAGCAUGAGCUGGAUAGACUUCAGGCUCUGCCAGCAGCUACAUUCUAGGGGUGCCCGGACGUCCUGGUCUCUUGAGAUGAGAUGGUCUUGUGUCUGGAAUUGGUCUCACUGACUAAAAGAAUAAAGCCGCAGACCUUCACAGUGAGUGUGACAGUUUUUAAAGAUGGUGUGUCUGGAGCUAGUUCCUUCAGAUGUUUGGACGUGUUCAGUUUCUUUCUGCUGGUGGGUUUGUGGUCUCGCUUGCUUCAGGAGUGGCUGCAGACCUUUGUAGUGAGUGUCACGAGCUCUUAAGGUGGUGCGCCUGGAGUUUCUCAUUCCUCCCAGUGGGUUUGCCAUCUCACUGCCUUUAAGGAGGGAAGCUGCAAAGCUUCGCGCAGUACGACAGUUUCCAAACAUGAUGCAAGCACAGCUUACCACGGUUGCCUCCGC